rnacentral:rRNA from 1 species
UACGUAGGGGGCGAGCGUUGUCCGGAUUCAUUGGGCGUAAAGAGCUCGUAGGCGGCUUGGCAAGUCGGAUGUGAAAACUCCAGGCUCAACCUGGAGCCGCCAUUCGAUACUGCUAUGGCUAGAGUCCGGUAGGGGAGUGUGGAAUUCCCGGUGUAGCGGUGAAAUGCGCAGAUAUCUGGAGGAACAUCAGUGGCGAAGGCGGCUUCCUGGUCCAACACUGACACUGAGGUGCGAAAGCGUGGGGAGCAAACAGG